rfam:Spinacia oleracea cultivar SynViroflay scaffold8141.con0005.1, whole genome shotgun sequence.
AACCUAUUAGCUCAACUGGAAGAGCACUAUGCAGUUGCAUAGGAGAUGUAGGUUCGAUUCCUACAUAGGUUG